GACGAACGCUGGCGGCGUGCUUAACACAUGCAAGUCGAACGGAAAGGCCCUGCUUUUGUGGGGUGCUCGAGUGGCGAACGGGUGAGUAAUACGUGAGUAACCUGCCCUUGACUUUGGGAUAACUUCAGGAAACUGGGGCUAAUACCGGAUAGGAGCUCCUGCUGCAUGGUGGGGGUUGGAAAGUUUCGGCGGUUGGGGAUGGACUCGCGGCUUAUCAGCUUGUUGGUGGGGUAGUGGCUUACCAAGGCUUUGACGGGUAGCCGGCCUGAGAGGGUGACCGGCCACAUUGGGACUGAGAUACGGCCCAGACUCCUACGGGAGGCAGCAGUGGGGAAGAUUGCACAAUGGGCGGAAGCCUGAUGCAGCAACGCCGCGUGCGGGAUGACGGCCUUCGGGUUGUAAACCGCUUUCGCCUGUGACGAAGCGUGAGUGACGGUAAUGGGUAAAGAAGCACCGGCUAACUACGUG
rnacentral:rRNA from 1 species